CAGUCGCCGCGUUAAUACGUAGGGUGCAAGCGUUAAUCGGAAUUACUGGGCGUAAAGCGUGCGCAGGCGGUUAUAUAAGACAGAUGUGAAAUCCCCGGGCUCAACCUGGGAACUGCAUUUGUGACUGUAUAGCUAGAGUACGGCAGAGGGGGAUGGAAUUCCGCGUGUAGCAGUGAAAUGCGUAGAUAUGCGGAGGAACACCGAUGGCGAAGGCAAUCCCCUGGGCCUGUACUGACGCUCAUGCACGAAAGCGUGGGGAGCAAACAGGAUUAGAUACCCGGGUAGUCCCUGUCUCUUAUAC
rnacentral:rRNA from 1 species